rnacentral:lncRNA from 1 species
UUAAAAUAUAUUCAACUAACUCAUUGAUAUACCAAUUAGAAAACAGAUUUAAAAUAUAUUCAACUAACAUCCAAACUCAGUUUAUUACAAUAUUCCACACAAUCACAAUAUAACCAUACAAUAUUCCACCAAUCACAAUACAACACAUAAAACGCUCAACAAGUAUAGGAACGUCUCCAACACCUUAUAGUGCCUUCAACCUGCAAAACAUCAACAUCCAUCCACAUAUUAACCAUUGAGUUGAGAUCAAUUCACCCCUUGACGGAAAUAAGAAUAUGCGCUCAUGUAUGAACAAAACUAAAAUAAACAAACUUUGAGGCCAUAGCAUGUGCUACAAAAAUGUUAACAAUUUUUUUAAUAAUUUGUGGUAGCUUGUUCAAAUUCUACUGCAAGGAUUUCAGAUAUGUAUGUAUACUCAAAGUUUCAUAGAUAUUUGUGUGCAAAAUUAAUCUCCCGGUUUCAGAUACGUGUGUAUGCAAACUUAAUCGAUUCCUGGUGCUACUCCUAGUGCACACUUAUUAGAUAUACAGAAAUCAUGGUUAAAAUUCACAUGUACAUGUCCUGGUCCAGUCAAUCACUUACCUUCGUGAUUGCAUCCAUGUCAUGAAGCAGGACAUGGCUGAAUUGGCCUUCACUCACACCAACCAUGUAUAUGAGAAUGAUCAGUCAGCCAAUGAGGUCCAUUGAUUGCACAAGAUGAAAAGAACAUCCUGAAUUUGGGCACAUAUAUACCUAUAGAAAUAGCAGCAUCUCAAUCACUGUAUAAUCAGCAAGCACACAUAGCAGCAGUAAUAAGAACUCUCUGAAUCACAAACACUAAUCAGCACCCCUCUAUGCCAAUCUAUCUCCAACGGAUGAAACAACAAUAUCUCACUCAUCUCAGACGAAUCCUCUCCCAUCUCCCUCUCUCUGAAUCUCAUAUCACCUGAAGCAUAACAUGAGCUCGUUAAUAGACCAACCAAUUUCAUGUUUUUUCUAAUAAAAAGGAAGAGCCAAACUGUAUCUUAUCAUAUGAGGAGAAGAAAAAUAUAAGGGGUCAUACUUAUUCUGCGCCUAUUACGCUGGACCACACCACAUCUUCCAACAUGCUAUCCAAGACUAGCACUAGAAGAUGAAACACACAUAAUGUGUGUGAUGAACAACGGGUUUUAAGGCCAAACACACAUCAGGACGCUGAUAUAAGCCGACGGUACAUUCCCCACGGAGGAGGGAAACUGAGGAAUAAGCCAGCAGCCCCCUCACCUCCAGUACAAGGCUGUUCUCCGGAGAUAUAUGAGAAAGGCAAGCAUCGCGACCCUGCCAUUUACUCGAAGCUACGGGACACACACAGGAUAAAUAAAGAGAAAAACCAACAUCCCCUUUCUUUGCUCCCUUGAGCGUUGGCACAUAAUAAUGCGCUUGAUUGGGACAUGGGUUAACUGAAAUGUUGUGACGUGGUAAUUCCAUGAUGGAGGAAGUACUAGCUAGUACUCCCUCAGUUCCUAAAUAUAUGUCUUUUUAGAGGUUCCACUAGUGGGCUAUAUAUGGUUAUAUAUAGACAUACUUUAGAGUGUAUAUUCAUUCAUUUUACUCCGUAUGUAGACCCCUAGUGAAAUCUUUUAAAAGACUUAUAUUUAGGAACGGAGGGAGUACAUACACACAUGUCACACCGAGACAGAAUCCCCACACCCGCUCUGUUUACCGAAUGGAGGGAGGAAGUGACGAGAUCCCCUGUCCAUCCCUGUUGAGGGCUCAGCACCAUGCAGCACGGGCGGACCUAACGAGGCUCGCAGGUUGGGUUCAAGAUUCCGAGGGUACGGCUGGGUAGGGUUAGCAUGUCGCACCGCUAGAAGUAAAAGAAACAAAACAAGAGGGAAAAAAUAACGGAGAAGGAAGGGAGCAUAUCGGAUGAACCAGCCCAACGGAUGAAGAAGCAGCAAGCAAAUAUAGAGGCAUCUCCCUCUUGGCUCUCUCCCCACCCCCAAAUCGAGCCCACCGUCGCUCCCGUCAUCCCCUUCAACAGCGGCAAUGAGUCUGGGACACAUGUCCAUCCCGCUCGGCUCUCUCCCCACCGCAGGGGAUACAUCGCAUCCCCGUGUGCAGCCCCGGCGACCGUGGCACGCCCUCUAUCUACAUCCUGGCAGUGUCGCCUCUCCCUCCUCCAACUUUCUAUGCUUUGCUCGAUCUAAGAGAAAAUCAAGGGUAGGACGGACCUGUGAUGCGGAGGACAUGACGUGGUGACGGGAACGAUCUGCCCGGAGGUGGAGGCGGGAAUGAUCUGCUAUUUGUACUCCUUGAGACGCGCCUUGAGCUCAUGGUCCUCCUCCGACUGCGAAAGGCUUGAAACACGAGUCACGCGACCACACCCGUAAGAGAGAGGAUGAGUGGCGCCCCCGCCCCAUGGGAAGAAAGCAGAGGAAGAGAAGGGGGGAAGCUCUGGGGUCGUCGUUGCUCACCGGGUUGUCCCCCUUCGUCUUCCCCUUUCCCUUGGCCGGCUGUGGCAGGGCGUGGGAGGCGGCAUGAACUCUGUCGCCGCCACUAGCAUCCUCGUGCGACGAGGGAGAGCAGAUUAGGAUUUGGAUCUCCGUCUGGAUCGGGGGAGGAUAGGGACUGAGGGAGGAGGCGGCGGAAGGAAGUUAAACGAGGGAGCAGAGGGUGUCGUGCACUGCGUUUAGGUUUAGCUAUAUGAGAGGCGAGUGAGAGGCGAGUGAGAGACGUUGGAUCCGCAGGUCAUGCAUGGUUCGGAUCGGCAACACUUGGGUGAUCCAGGGGAGAGUCGUUCUGCGUUCUCAUUGGUUCGAGAUAUAUGUCACUUAAAAUAGUUUUUGAGUGUUAAAAAGGAUGAGGUUUGUGAAGCAGCUAUCAAGAAUAUUUUUCCAAAUGACAGCACUAAGAUUUUCCACAAACUAUGUCACAUAUAAUGACACAAUGCGAAGGUUACAAUUUUUUUGAAUUUCUUAACUAUGUUUCAAAAUACGGUCAAAACGACGGGCAUGAUCGUUUGUAGCUCAGGGCUUAGUCUUGCAAAACAAUGUUUUGUCAUUUGGGUUGGCCCAUGUAGAAACAUCAUAUGUUUUUCAAGAUUCAACCCCUAGCUAGGAACAAUCAUGCGCGCCGUUUUGACCGCAUUUUGAAAUGGGCAUAAAAAAUUUAAAAAAAAUCGAAAAAUUGGAAAACCUUCCCAUUGUGUCAUUAUAUGUGACCAAGUUACCAGGAAAAAUAAUAAACUUGUGAUACGACAAUUAUUUAAAAAAUGUGUUCUCAUAAAUGAGUUAUCAUGUGUGAAGAUUCAUGGCCACAUUCAUGGCAUAGUUUAUGGCCACAUUUCCGCCGUUUGACCGUUCCUAGCUAGGGGAUUCAUGUGUGAGUUAUCAUGUGUGAAGAUUCAAACCCAAUGAUCAAUCUUCUGGCCACAUUCAAGGCGUAGUUUGUUCAAAUGAUCUCAUAUUAUGCACGAAGGUGCAUAUUGGAAUGGCAAAUAAUGUUGCCUAAGGAAGUUUUCAUUUUCUUUGGACGGAGAAUUAAUUUUUCCAUUUCUCGAGUGCCGAACGUGUGUUUUUUGUGAAGGACCUAUCAUAUAUUUGUUGCAAAAUUGGACCAAACUAAUUUUAUAUAAUACUAGGCCACAUGUAAUGUACAAUUAACCAAAUGGUUUGGUGUAAAAAGCUUUGAGCCACCUCUCUUGAAAAAGACAAAUUUUCGUCGAUUUAGUAGGAAGCGGGUCAAAUCUGAACUAUAACUCCCUCAUAGUUUGCUCAUAAAUUUUUCCAAAAAAUAAUUUCUAGGUACAUAGGUAUAUAUUUAAUCAUAGAAACACCAAAAGUUUUUUAAUAUUCAACCCCUAGCUAGGAAUGGUCCUACCCGCCAUUUGACCGCAUUUUGAAACGGGCAUGAAAAAAAAUUUGGAAAACCUUGGCAUUGUGUCAUUAUAUGUGACCAAGUUACGAGGAAAAAUAAUACACUUGUAAUACGAAAAUUAUUUUAAAAAGGUGUUCUCACAAAUGAGCUAUCGUGUAUGAAUAUUCAUGGCUUUCAAGCCAAAUGAUCAAUCUUAUGGCCACAUUCAUGGCAUAGUUUGUUCAGAUGAUCUUAUAUUAUGCACAAGGAUGCAUAUUGGAAUGGCAAAUAAUGUUGCCUAAGGAAGUUUUCAUUUUCUUUGGAUGGAAAAUUCAUUUUCCAUUUUCCAAUUGCCGAAAUGAGUUUUUUGUGAAGGACCUACCAUAUAUUUGUUGCACAAUUGGACCAAACAAAUUUUAUAGAAUAUUAGGUCAUAUGUAAUGUACUAAAUCGUUGGAUGUAAAAAAAUUUGAGCCACCUCUCGUGAAAAAGACAAAUUUCUGUUGAUUUAAUAGGAAGCGGGUCAAAUUUGAACUACAGCUCGCUCAUAGUUUGCUCAUGAUUUUAUCCAAAAAUAAUUUAUAGGUACAUAAGUAUCUAUUUUAUCAGAGACACAUGAUGUGUUGGCAAGACGUCGAGGUUUGGAUGGUGUCCGAGGGACCCAACUCCAGAGCGCGUUAACGAGCAUGCCAACCGCGUCGUCACCGCGUGACCGUGGUGUUGCCACAUGUUCUGGGAGGCCUAGGCAUGUCUGUUGGGUUGGUCGCUCCUUCAAUAGGUGUUAGGAAGAAUAAUACAACAGAAUAAUUUCAUGAGAAGAUUGAACUAAGCUUAAACAUGAAUUGACAGCCAAGUGUUUGAUUAGCAGUGGGGGCAAUUCACAUGACCAAUGGGCCUGGGUUUUGGAUGAGGAUGCUUAUAUACUAAGAAGACUAUCUUGGUAAAUUUUUAGCUCAAAUGGAGGAGCCUAGGUGACAUUUGCUUUGCAAAGCACCACACUGGGCAGAAAUAUGGAUGUCGAAGCUGGGCUCAAAUGAAUGAAUGGAUUGAGCUUAAAUUUGUGGAGGAUGGUCAUUUGGGCAUAGGAAAGCACUUUAAAAAUUAGGUACCAUUUGGAAAUUCCAAAGUGGCACUUCCUUCACAAUGCUCUUCUCUCGAUAGGAACUUGGAAAAUUUAUUGAGAAGAAUUGGAUAAAUAAAAUGAGCUCAAAUUUUGUGGAGGUAAGUUAUAUAGGUAGGAACAUGUCGUGGUAUAUUGUCAGCAAUAAUUAAGUAAUAUAAAAUAUAUUUGCUUCACAAACUAAAAAUAUGACCAGAAUAAAAGAUUGGAUGAUGAGCUCACAUGGAUUGCUGGACAGAGCUCAAAUUUUAUGGAGAGUGACGAUUUGGGCAUAUGGAAUAUUUGGAAAAAUCUUAGAUCAUUUGGAUAAUCUUAGCUAGUACUUCCUUCACAAAGCUUCUCUCUGGGUCGAAACUUUGGAAAUUUGCUGAAUAGGCAAAUAGAGAUGAAUAUUGACAUGUCACAAUUAUUUCUAUAUGGAAGAUUGCCAAAACAAUUGCGGGCAAUAGUAGGGGUCUAGAUAGCACUUGCUUUGCAAUAUGUCAAUCUGGGCAGAAAAUAGAAAUUGAAGCUCUACUCACAUAGAUGAUUGGAUGGAGCUGAAAUUUGGAGGAGGAUGAUAAUUUGGUCAUAUAAAGGCACUGUAGAAACUUCAUAACAUUUGGAUAAAUAAAAAUGGUACUUCCUUCAAAAUGCUCACCACUGAAGAGAACAUUGGGAAAAUACUAAGGGAAAUUGGCUUAAAUGAGCUAAAAUUUGGUGGAGGGAGUUUAUAUGGUUAUGGUCAUGUCCUCGUAUAUUUGCAUCAAUUAGAAAGUAAUAUAAAAUGUAGUUACUUGAAAAAUUGAAAAUAUUACCAGAAACAGAGAUCUGGUGGUGAGCUCACACGGAUUGUUAGAUGGGGCUCAAGUUUUCUUGAGAUCUAUGAUUUGGAUAUAUAGAUGAUGUGGAAAAAUUCAACUCAUUAGGAUAUUCCUAGCUAGUACUUCCUUCACAAAGCUUGUAGCUCAACAGAAACUUUGUAAAUUUGUUGAGAAAUAUUUACUUGGCAAAUGGAGAUGAAUUUUUUCAUCACGCUAUGAUUUGGAUUGGAAAGAGUGCCCAAAAAGUUUGAGGGCAAUCAUGAAAAUAUAAAUAACACUUCCUUCACAAAGCACUAUUCUGAACAGAAUAGGAAAAUGAAUAUUGCAGAAUUAUUUUUUGAACUAGGGAAGGAAGGUUUUUGACAUAUUUCAGGAAUAUUUGAUCCAAAUAAUUUAUGAUAAUUUUUGGGGAAUUUUGCGAAUGACAGAAAUGUAGGUUGCUUCACAACCUAGGGCAAAAAUUGACACAUGGACAACACAUAGGCAAAACUGAUGAGAUGGCUCCUAGUCAUAGCAAUGCACCACAAUUUACAAGGCUAUGACCAUUUAUAUUGGUCAUGAUCACCAAGAAAUAAGGCAGCGAACCAGUGUUGUCUGCUUUACGACCAUUUCAUGUAAGAGAAUUACGACAUUUCUGACCACUUGGUCGUUAUGGUUUAGUGUUUGGAGCCCCCCCCCCCACACACACACGAGCAGCUUACGACCAAUUGGUCUCAAAUGGUCAUAGAUUUACGACCAUUUCUACCAAGGUCACUCCCAGAAGGUCACAAGUUGACAUAUUUCUUGUAGUGUGUGGCUGGUCCUGGUGACCUCCAGCUUGAGCAGACCCAUUAGCUCCUGGCUGCUGGCUAGAGUUGCCAGGGUUGGGGUUGUCAAAGGUACUGGCGUGAGUAGCAGUCACCAUCCUGUUUGGAACAGCCAAGUCAACAACUGGAAUAGACGAAAUGACCAACGCAGGAUGGGAACGUGCCUAAAUAGGGGAGGGGGUUGGCACGGUGCAAGUGUGUCAAACAAAAGGGCCAAAAGACCCAAGAUAUAACCAUUAAGUAAGAUAAGCGAGGUAGCCAUUUACAUGUUGCCUAAGGCAAAAGUGUGGCUUGCAUCUAGACACAAACAGAAAAGCAAACAACAAGCACACAUGGUUUCAUCCGAACCAUUACACGAACUCGAUUUCACAUGAGGGGUUCAUAGCUUGUCCUACCCUAGGGGUUCUCGGAAUCAAGUAGUGGAGUGCUCGCUCUGGUACUCACGCUCCUCUCGGUCUUCCUCUUGGUCAUCAUCCGCACGGGCAUCGUCUCGUGUUGAGUGUCUCGGGGAGCGAGGAGGUCCAUCCCAACGAUGCUUCAGCGGUGGAGCGAUGAAGAGGACGCGAUACUCCUUGGCACUCAUGCGAUGACUCCGAAUGGGGGUGACCUUAGGCGGUGGUAUUCCUCCUCUGUAUGUGAAAGUAGGUUGCCCCUCGGUGGCUCCAUCCUUCUUGAUCCUCCUUGUCUUCGUCUUUGCUUGACUGAGUAGUUCGCGGGCGUGGUGAAGUUCCCGGCGGAGCUUCAUUCACUCCUUGAUUAGGUUCUAAGCCAGAUUGUCGGUGGAGAGGAUAAAGUAGGUCUGGAACCUGAGCGGUGCUUCGUCUUCCGAUGAUGGGGUCAACGUCCUACUCCUGCCAACCUCAUCCUUAACGAAAGGCAAGUGACGGGUAGCGGGUUCAUUGGACAUCUCAGGAAGGAUGUCGCGAAGGUGGAUGAGCACCUUCCGCGCCGUUGUCUCGACUGCAAACACCAGAGUCUCCAUAUGCGAUACUUCAAAGAACCAACUAGUCGGGGUGUCAUUUGCCUUCACGACCACAUCGAAGUGGUAACCUUCAUGGUGGCAUUGACCCAGUGCUCAUGGUAGAGAAAAACUGGUGAUCAGCGGACCCGACACUUUUCCAGGCUAUCCUCCAGGAGUAGGGGAAAUCAGACUCUAGGAGGCUCUUGGCUAUGACGACCAUCUACAAGGCUUAGGGAGAGGUGUCACUAAAAGGGGGAUUGAAUGGUAUAGUGGAAGAGGUGAGGGAUGCAUAAAACCCUAAGUGCAAAGGCUAGGUGUAGCUUUUGAGAGGGGUUUCGUCUCAUCUCAUGUCCAUGCUAUCUGAGGCUUCCUACAGUCCGGAUGGCCCUGAUACCAGCUCUGUGGGGACCCCGACUUGUAAGUCAAGAUAGUCGAAUGUGUGUGUAUAGUGACCCGAGAGAUCAAUGCUCACUCAACACACAGAUACAGAAUAACAAGAGUCUUACAUCCAUACAUAACUUCUAAUACAAAUAGGGACAUUAGGUCCAAGUCAUUACGUAAGUACAGACUCGAAGGCCAAAACAACAACACACUACUGAAUGCGGAUAACUUGGUUGAUAGCAUGAACGCAUGCCAUCUUCCUUAACCUACACACAUUCUGACUGGGAAGCUUCCUAGAUCGUAUGUUCAUCCCCGACAAACUCUUCUCUAAACUCCGGUUCCUCCAUGACUGGCCAAUUAAAUGACUAGUGGAAAGCCAAUGAGUACUUUGAAUGUACUCGCAAGCAACCCAUGAUCUGGAACAAGGCAAUAACGAACUAUGACAUAACACUAGUAUGCUGAUUUUGCGAAAGGUAGGUUCUCCCUAGUGCAACAAAAUGAUCAAAUUCUUGGGCGACAUGCACCACAAGGCAUAGCGGUAAUCCAAUGAAAGGUUACAUAUAUCAAUAUCAAUUAAGGGUCAAAAAUCUCAUGUCCACCCAUCAUGACAAGUCACCUGACUUAGCUCGAACAUCAUGUUUCCCCAUGUCACCAUCUUUUCCUCAUACCCACCCCCCACACACACUUGGUUUAUGUGGAAACAACUUGACAUAGUUUAAGAAGCAUUACCCAUGUCACACCCUGUGUUUUGACUCUCCUGAAUAAAUAAUCUUAUCUCAAAAAUUAGGACGAGUCAAAAAAAUUUGUGAGUGCUUGUGAUGCUUGAUGUGAUUGUUGUUUGUUUGCUUGCUUGCUUAUAUGCUUGUGUUUGAAUCGCAAUUUUCCUGCUACUCUACACACUCACCUCCUUGACCCAAACCCUAGCCUAAUGAUCAUGCCAUGUGUAUAGGACCAGAAACUAUUUUUACCAAACAUUAUUUUGACCAAAAAGCAUUUCCUUAAUUUAAGCUUUCAAAAACCCGUGAGUUGGGAUUUGUACUAAAAGUCCUCAAAUUAGGGAAGUUUACCAAAUAUUUUAUUUGAAUCCCAUUAUCAAAAAUACUUCCCAAAACCACAAAAAUAUUAUUUUAAAAGAUAUUUUCCUAUUUUAUCUAAAAACCUCUUUCUGAGGCCAUAAGUAGUCUUUUACAAAGAAAGGUUAUUUUUCCUGCCUUCAAAAUAUUUUUAUAAAAUUUAGGGGAACUCACUGUAUAUAUAUAAUCCAUAUAUAAGAGUUUAAGCACAUGGUCAUGUUCAUAAUGUUGGGAAAACCCUUCAGAACCCUUCGUGCCUAUUUCAAGCUUUUGGAAUAUUUCUAAAAUAAAUAUUCUCAAUAAAUCCUAGUAAAAUUCUAGCAUGUCUCACAUGAUAUAUGUGAUGAUAUUGCCAAGUUUUACCUCAAUCCAAGUUGAUUUGAUUCACCUAAUAAUUCCAAAACCACAUCUGUCCAGAUCCAAAUUUGAGCAUCUCUACAUUUCUAAGUGUCUUUAAUUGUGCUCAAAUUUUGUGGACAUGUUGUGAUACUAUAAUAAUGCAUCCACACCAAGUGGUGCAUCAAGGAGAAUAUAAGAACUUGUUCCAAACUACACAAAUCCUUCUAUGUUGAUCUAUAGCUUUGGGAAACUUUACAUUAUAAAUUUUCUCCCAUUUAUCCCAAACUUUUUGGGAUGCUCUAAUGCUCAAAUAAUGCCACCACACCAAAUUGUGGAUUAGUGGGAAUUGAUUUUCAUGAUUUUAUAUGCAAAAUGCCAUUUCUGCCCAUUUCUUGAGUUUUUCAAGUCUACAUUGAAAACUUCCUCCAUCAAAUCCUCAGUUUGGUGCAGAAGCUCAUUUUGACCUAUCUUGUGAUUCUGUUAAGUUUCAUAGCAAUUGGAAUCCAUCUGGUAGCCCUAACAUCCAUCAAAUACCUUGUGCCCAAUUAUCAAAAUUGCUACUUUGGCCCCUUCCACGAAUCUCCUUGAGCUCAAAUUUUUACAACAGCUCUCUCUAGUCCCCUUUUACAUCUAGUAACUUUUUCAUGGCCUCUUGUCAAUUAUUGGAGGGUGGAUCCAUCUCCCCACCUUUCUUUUUACCUCGGCAACACUAUUUUACCCCUCUUGCUAUACCUCUGCUCUAGCCAAUACCCCCACAUCUUUCCAAAGAGCCUCUAGCAUGCUAAUGCACCAUUCCAAGCAAAAAUAUGGCAUGCUCAUGUGGGAAAUAUGAGCAGGCCUUAUGAAACGUGUUUUUGGUAGAAAUUUGACCUUGAACUACAACUGCUAGCUACACACCUCUCCUUGAUCUAAGACUUGGCAGUGUUGUAGUUCUUCCAUUCCUAGGGCUACUAGACACAGUUUUAUUUAAAAAGCCCCACCCCCAGUAAAAAUACGUGCGCUGGCCUAAAGUUUGUUGUUGCAAACUUAAUCAAAGAGUAAGCCCCACCUAUCCUACCCCAAAUGUCACAAAAAUCCUCCAUCCGUCUCCAGAGAUCUUGCCUUGCAUGUUUGACAGCAUGGCUUGACCAUAGGGUGGUCCCCGACGCACAGUGGCAUUGUGACCAUGGCACUGGCAUGCAAAACUGGUGCUCGAUAGCUUAACUUGGCCCUGCAGCUCGGGUCCAGCAACGACCGCGUGUCCCACUGUGCCACAGAGCCUCCUUUGAUCGGCCAAUCCCCUCCCACAUGCUUGGAAGCUGCCAAGUCCCUUCUAGCACGCGUUCUCUCACCGUGCUCAGAGCACCCGAGGCGCUCCUGAGUUUCUCCUCUACGCCCCUCCAUUUAGGGCCUCCAUCGAGCCCGUGCUGCCUCCUUCCUACUCCCCUCUCUUCCAUGAACCUCAAGACCAGCCCAAGGCACCCCUGAGCUCUCUUCCUCCUCCAAUGGUCGAAGCCCGCCGGCAGCUUCCGCUCAAAAUUCAGGCAUAGCCGAGCUCUCCCUCGCUCCUGGCACCAUGUGGUCCCUCCUAGCCACCUCUGGGACUCGCCCCACCCCUGUUUUAUUCCCUCCAGUGGUUGUAGCGUCGUGCCCCCGUCCCCGCCAAAUCCCUCCGCCGUGGCCGACCCUGCGCCCCACCUUGGACUCCCCCGAGCUUCGGAUCCACCCAGGAAGGAAGGGCAUGUCCUACUGAGCUCAUGGUUAGGCGAGGCCUCGCCGGGGAUGGCUUGUGCCACUGGGACGAACGUCGGGUCAUGCUAGGUUGGCCUCCCUGCCACUCCCCUGAUUCGGGCGGAAGGUAGGGGAAGACCUGCCAGCGGGGCCCGCGUGUAGGUGGUCGUGGCCCCGGCUCCCCCCAUAAGUGGAAAGGACUUCGGGCGCAGUUGUGCCUCCCCUCUCAAAAAUGUAAUCUCGUGAGUACGCCUCCUAGGUGGCCGGCACAUGCGUGCGACCGAGCCGCUCGGUCGUCCGAGUGGGCCUACGGCUAUUCCACGCACAGUGCGCGGUUUAGCCCAACUCUGGUAAGGCCCCCCUCCUCUUUUUCUUUUUUGAGAAAGAUCCCAAAUUUCAUAAUUUUUUCAUUUUGGAUGCAAAUCUAAUUAUUCAAAUUUCUGGUGACUUAUAAAAUCCUUUCCAACCCAAAUAUGUGAUUUGCACAUUUUUCCAAAAAUAUUUUCUGUAGAGAUUUAAUGCAAGUUAGAAUCUAACUUAUUCAACCCCAACUUGCAAAAUUCCUACACAACUCAAAUCAAUUCCAAAUGUAGUGAUUCCAAUUUCGAGAGACUUCUAAUAUCAUGCACUAUUUUUGCAGCAUUAGUAAAAAAUUAUCUGUCAUGUUUCUGUUGGAUCAAAUAAAUAGCCCAUUUUUUCUAUUUACUCAAUGUUAGAAAAUCCAUAGGAAAUUCAUAUCAACCCCAAAUCUAGUGAAAUAACUUCCUAAAUAUUUCUAAAUUCAUGCCCUUUUAAAUGAGUGCCUCCACUCAUUUUAUUUUCUGUAGACUUCUUAUGGGGCCAGUGAUGCCUCCACUUCCUCCAUUCAAAAUUCUUUGGUGAUCUGAAUCCCUUAGAACAACUUUAGGAACUUUUCUUAUGACCAGAGAUGUCCGAAAAAAUAAAACUCAUAUUUGUAGAGCACUUUUAUUUCUUCUUGCUGUGUGGCUUACUGUGAUUGUUUUCGAUGGUAGUUGACAGAAUAGCCGAAGUACUCGGAGUUGGGCCGGAAGGCCUGGAAGGCCCUGAAGAACUAUUUGAGCAAGGCAAGCAGCCCUUUGACCAUGUUUGAUAAAAAUAUUUUAUGCACGCCAUGUUGAUUACUUUAUUCCGAUGCAUAUGCUCAUGAAUAAUCGGUAAACCCUCGGUAUGGUGUUACCGAUGGUUCCUCUGGAGCACUUGCAUUCGAGCAUGACCUUACCAUCUAUGAGGGUCACACUGAUGAUAAGUUGAUAAGUAGAUAGUAGUCUUAUGUAUAGGAGGAGCAUAUGCAUGGUGUUGGUAACACAAAGGCGAUCACAAAGACUUUUCGAAAACCCCGUCGGGUGCCACUAAUGCUCGAGGGUAAUGGAUUUGAGAUGGUGACCACUUGAGAAAUAAGUGGAGUACCAUAAAUGGUUUUGUGUGUGUGGUUUCGGAAAUGGGAUUAGAUUUAAGAUUUUCUCACCAUCCCCACCUUACAUGUGAGACCACGAUACCCCUUUAUGGGAUGGGGCUUUGUUGAUUACUUUGGUCAGUGCUACCGAAGAGCCCGCAUUACUAGUGGUGGGAGUGACGUGGUCACUCUAGUGUCGGGGUCGUGCCACGUAGGACGACUAUGAUGUUUUUACAUGUGUCGGGCACACCAUUGGUCCUGCAUGGAUGAUACGAUCUAGAGUUGGUGCUUGUAAGACGUACAUCAUGUGGGCUGGGUACCAAUCGAGUGGACUCUUUGUCUAGUGUCGCCAGGGGAAAGGCAAUGAUCGGGUACUUACCUUGGGUAUGUUAUAUAUCGCGAGUCGUGGAUGACACGGAAGAUUCCUCGGGUGUAUCUAACGGAUCUCACGAUGUACCUAAAGUAAGUGUUAGCAUGCAUAGAGUUACAUAGAUGGUCGAUAGAACUUGAGGAAAUAUUAAUUCUACCUUUAUAUCCUCAUUGGGUUUGACACUCUUACUCAUUGAAAAGGGAUACAAACGAUCCCCUAAACUUGUGGGUUAGGAAGACCUUCUUCUCGCGCCGUUGCCGACGAGUAAUAGCGUAGUGGUUGAUGUUGUGGUGUGUGCUUGUUUGCUUUAUCACUAAGUAAUUUUUAUUUUCUGUUGUUAGUUGUUUUAUAUCUUUAGUUAUGGAUAUGGAACACGAAACACCAAAAACAUUAGUUGUACUUGCUACUCAUGGAGAUGGGGAACAUCCUAAAACCCUCGAUGUUGGUUAUGCAUAACACAUUAACUACUGCUUUGAUAAUCCUGAGAAAUCCUCAUCCAACUUGAUAAUGGGAUGCAUGUUGGAUCAACGUGAGUACUUUGGGGAUUAUCGCUUGUCUCAAAAAGGAAACACUCGUGGUAUAAAAUUAAAAUGUUUCUUUGGUAUGCUUGGGAUUUAUGCGUGAGAAGUGAUUAUACUUUUUGGUCUAGGAAUAAGGGUCUACACAUUCCCUUUCGAAGUAAUUUAAAGAUAAUAAAACCUUGGCUUCUUAUGCUAAUGGUAUAUAUAAUUACUAUGAUGUGAACAAAUAGAAUUUUUUUAAACUUUUAAGGGUGCAUAUGAAAUUUCUUCUUUGAUUGAAAGGUAUGAUUAUAUUCCUUAUAAAUCUAAAAAAUCCCAUAGUUAAAUAUUUCUGUGAGAACUAUGAAUACAAUGCCUAUAUUAAUAGAUUUAUUGAAAGAAUGACCGCUGCCUUGGAAGAGAAUAAUAUUUUGCAGGAAUCUAAGGAAGAAGAAAUUGUUAAAUCUGUGAGCUCAUUAGAUGAAAAAGAUGAGGAGGAGAGCGAAGAACAAAAGGAGGAAGAGCGAAUUAGUUACCCGUGCCCACCUUAUAAUGAGAGUAACUCUUCAACUCAUACAUUAUUUAAUUUCCCUUCGCACAUACCGAAGGAUGAAUGCUACGAUUAUUGUUAUGCUCCCUUGGAUUCGUUUGAAAUAUCCCUUUUUGAUGAACUUAAUGUUUUCUAUGCUUGUGGCCAUGAUGGCAAUAUGAAUUAUGCUUAUGGAGAUGAACUUUCUGUAGUUCCUUAUGUUAAGCACGAAAUUGUAGCUAUUGCACCCAUUCACGAUAGUCCUAUUAUCUUUUUGAAUUCUCCCAACUACACCAUAUCGGAGAAGUUUGCACUUAUUAAGGUUUAUAUUGAUGGUUUGCAUUUUACCACUACACAUGAUGAUUUUGAUGUAUAUAAUAUGCAUGUGCGUGUUGCUCCUACUUGCAAUUAUUAUGAGAGAGGAACCAAAUCUUCACCUCUCCAUGUUUUGAGUACAAUAAAAUUGCAAGAAACUUCUUGUGCUAUGUAUUAGCCUUUACUUUAUGUGAAUGAAUUUUACUUUUGUGACAUGCCAAUGCAUAGGAAGAGAGUUAGACUUCGUUCUCACAUGAUAUAUAUCACUUUGUGCUCACUAUUUAAUUACAAAUCAUUGUUAAUAAAAAAUGGCUUUGAUAUACCUUGGGAUCAAGGUGGAUCAAUUACAUGAGCAAUAUAUGCCUAGAUUAAUGGCUUUAAAGAAGCGCUGCUCGAGAGAAAACCUGGAAGUUUAAAGAUUCAUUUAUUUCUAUUGUGCUUUUGAAAAUAACUAAAAACAAAAAAUAAAGUGGGGAACCUAAAACGUUUUCAAAAAGAAAAGUGAAAGUGAGAAAGAUGAGCAUCGUUGAAGUGGGCGCUAGCCUUGAACUUUGUUCAUGCCUAUGGAAACUUUGUGAAUCUUGAUUACAUAAACUUUUCAACUAAAAUAAUUAUAUCAUUGUAUAAAUCCUUUGUAUUAGAAAAAUAAUGUGCCAAGUAAAGCCUUUUGGAUGAUUUGGAUGAUAGUAGAUUUGAUCCUGUGCAAACAUAGAAACUUUGACGUCCAGUGUAGAAUUUAUGUGGUUUUACCGGAACGUCUUUUUGAUCUGAUUUUUUUAAACAAUUAUGCACAAAUUCCCGAGGACCUUCUAAUUUUGAAGAAUUGUUUGAGUUAGAUAAGUUUGGUAUUUGGAUUGAUCAUUACAGACUGUUCAGUUUUGGCAGAUUCUAUUUUUUGCUUGUAUAGUUUGCUUGUUUUGAUGAUACUGUGGAUUGAAUCGGAGGGUAUAACCCAUUGAGAAUUGAAAAUAAAAUAAAUUAUGCAAUAAUUAAAUAUGAAUCAAUUUAUAACAGUACCCAAAGUUUAUGAUUUGUCUAUUAUACUAAUGGAUCUCAUGAGGUUUCUGUUAAGUUUUGUGUGAUUGAAGUUUUCAAGUUUUGGGUGAGAUAUCGAUAUGGGGAGAAUAAGGAGUGGCAUGAACCUAAUCUUGGGGAUUCCAAGGAACCCCAAGGUAAUAUCCAAGUAAGACUGAAGCGUCUAAGAUUGGGGAUGCCCCCGAAGGCAUCCCCUCUUUCGUCUUCAAGACUAUUUGUAUAUGUUAGUUGGAGCUAUAUUUUUAUUCAUCAUAUAAUAUAUGUUUUGCGUGCAACAUCAUUUUACUUUUCUGUUAUCUGUUAGAUGUUAUUCAUAAUAUUAUUUUUCAAUAAAAAUUUCGAAUAAUUACCUUUAGGAUGUUUGAAUUGCUUGUUUGAUAUGUGGUGUGUAAAAGCAGAAACUUUGGCUGCCGUGUUUGAUUUUUCAUAUUUUACACGAACAUCAAAACUUUGUGAAAUAUUUACACUUUACGUUUACACAAAUUAUAUACCACUUCAUAAAUUUCAAUAAUUUUCUAAGUUACAUAAGUAUACAUUUUAUCUGCAUCUUUAGAAACUGUUCUUUUUUCACAAAUUGCUUUUAUAGUUGCUUCGUGUGCUUAUGUUUUGAAUUCUUGUAGACCCCCAUUGACUCGGGAGGCAUAAAUUGUGAUAGAAUACAGUGGUUAAUGUUAUAUUAUAAUUAGUAAAUAAUAUUAUGGCAGGAUAUUAAUAAAUUUGAUGAUUAUGUACUAAUGUUUCUAAAAAUAUUGCUAUCAAGUUUUGUGUGGAUGAAGUGUUCAAAGAUUUAGGAGGUAUCGAUAUGAGAAGAAUAAGGAGAGGCAAGAGAUCAAGAUUGGGGAUGUACAAAUCACUCCAAAUAAAUAUUGAAGGAGACUCAACCAUAUAAUGUUGGGGAUGCCCCGGAAUACAUCCCAUCUUUCUUCUUCAACAAUUAUCGGUAUGUCUCGAUUUUGUUUUGUUCACAUGAUAUGCGUAAAUUCUUGGAGCGUCGCGUGCAUUUUAUUUUCUUUGAGAAACACACCACGAUGGUAUGUGAAAGUUCAUGAUUUAUUUAUAUAAUGGUAUUUGGACUUCACUUAUAUGUUUUGAGUAUGGCUUUAUAGAAUGCUUCAUGUGCUUCACUUAUAUUAUUUGAAGUUGGACGCCUGUUUCUCUACAUAUAGAAAACCGUUAUUUGUAGAAUGUUCUUUUUCCUCACUUAUAUGUAUUAGAGCGUGUUACUUUUUAGAAAGAAUUAAAACUCUCAUUAUGUACUUAUAUUUGUUUGAUAGUUAAUAAAUAGUCAGAGUAAUUUGCGUGGCUUAUAAGACUACUCCAAAAAUAUUAGGUAUUCAAGGAGUGAUAAUCAAAACCUUCUUGUAGCACAUUAAAGAGAGAAUGUGGAUUAAUUAUAUUGAUGUGGUAAUGUGCAAGGGUGUGGGUUCAUCAUUGUUGAUUCGUAGAAGUGUCGGUAUUAAGAGGUGUUAAACUUCUUGUUCAUCUAAAAAUUAAAAGGGCAUUGUGAUGAUGUGUGAGCAUUUGUAUUCCUCGUUGAAAUCCUAGUGUUUUUUCAAGUCGGAGUCGUGUGAUGUUUAAUUCCUCCCAACCCUCUCCAUCGGGGUAUGUGAGUAGUACAUUGAUUUGUGAUAAAACAAAUAAAACUUUGCAAGAAGUAUAUGAGUUCUUUAUGACUAAUGCGACACCAUGGAUAUAGACAAUCUCACCUCCACAUAUUUGGUAGCCUCUUCGGUGUCGUGCAUUGCCCAUUCUCACCUCGAGGAUCAGUGCAACUUUCGCCGGCGCAUCCAGACCCCAUGACAUGAUAGGCUCUACUUCACAGAAUCCUCAUUAUACCUUCCUCAAAACAUCUGCCAUACUUACCUAUCAUGGCAUUUCCAUAGCCAUUCCGAGAUAUAUUGUGUUGCAACUUCCACCAUCACUUCAUAUGACUUGUACUUCCGUUGCCAUAUUGCUUUGCAUGAUCGUAAGAUAACUAUCUUGAUAUUUAUAUGGCUUGUCCAUUUUUGAUAUCUUUUGCUACGCUAGAUCAUUGGACAUCUUGGUACACUGCCAGAGGCAUUCAUAUAGAGUCAUAUCAACCUAUCAGUUUUUCAUAUCAAGUUGUAAGUAAAUAAAAGUGUGAUGAUCAUCAUUAUUAGAGAAUUGUCCCAGUGAGGAAAUUAAAAUGGGUGAGGCCAAAUGUGCCCACCAUAAAUAAAUGGGGAGGCAAAAAAAUAAAAAAAAAGCCCACCAUGGAAAAAAUUAAUAAACAAAUAAAUGAGAGAAAAGGAGAGAAGGACUUUGCUACUAUCCUUUACCACACUAGUGCCUCAAAGUGGCACCAUGUUCUUCAUAUACACAACCUUCUGUUUUGUCACUUCCAUAUGCUUGUGGGAAUUUUUCAUUAUAGAACUUGGCUUGUAUAUUCCGAUGACGCGAGUCAUCAAAUACCCGAGGUCUUCAUGAGCAAGAAGUUGGAUGGACACCCAUUUAGCUUUAGUCGAGCUUUCAUACACUUAUAGCUCUAGUGCAUCUGUUGCAUGGCACCCUCCUCCUUGCAUUGAUAUCUAUUGAUGGACAUAUCCAUAGCCCGUUGAUACGCCAAGUUGAUGUGAGACUUUCUUCUCCAAUUUUACCCCUUUGAAACCUACCACCACAUUCUAUUCCACCUAUAUGAUAUGCCCAUGGCCCACGCUCAUCUAUUGCGUGAAGAAUAAAAAGUUGAUUGUAACAUCCCAAAUUUUCAGAUUUGGUAUGUUAACAGGAUCAUUCUUUGUCAUCUUGAUUUCUAUGCAUUAUAUGUUCUUCUGGAAAUUAUAUUCAUUAUGCAACUGAGGGCAAGUUAUUGGAGUUGAAAUAACAUGACUUCUCCCCUAUAAAAUAAAAAAUUCAUAAUGUCCAGAAUAUUAUUUGGAGUCACCUCAUACAGUUUUGCAAAUUUUAUAAAAUCCAAAUUAUUUUUUAGUUGAGUUUUUCAAUGCUCGUUGUGUGGCAUAUUACAUAAAAUUUAUUUUCAAAAUUUCAUUAGGCUUGGAACUAGUGUUCCUGUAGAAUGUAUUAGUUGCAUAUAUUUUAGUGUAUGCCAUUAGCAUUUUAUAAUAUUUUUCUCGUAUUUAUUUUAGCCAUAAACAUAUUCCUUUUUGCAGCAGUUUGUUUUUUAAAAACAAAAGAGAAAUCGCACUCUGCAGACAGGCUGCACAGUGGCCCAACCUUGACUUUGCCUACGCCCAGCCACAGCAGGGCCGGCCGAGCAACCAGCCAACGUCAUCCUCUUCUCUAUUCGUGUUCAUCACGGACUCUGCUUCAGAGUCCAAUCCCUGCGCGAUUCGCUUGAAUCGUUGCCUCCCAAGCACGUAGGACUAUCUAUAAGUAAUCCCCUAUUCCUCCUAGUCCGAUUUUUGAAAAAAUAUGAUCUACCGUGACCUAGAGAGCCUACUUCAUCUCCCGGGGUUUCAGCCAUCCAGGAGCUCCCAGAGAUGUUGGAUUCGUCCUCGGGAGCAGGGGAACUAGCGCCAGGUUCGUCGCCAGAGUGGACUGAACCGUCGCCGUCGUCAGAGCACCGCCGCCCACGCCUGAGCCACCGCCGUCGUUCCCCUGUUGGUCACGGUGAGCUUGCAGCACCAUCUGCCACAGCCAAUCCCGACAAGAUUUUAAGCUGUUUAUUUUUAGGCAGAUUCUCGGUAAAAUUUUGUAACAUGUUUAACUUUUACUCGUAGCUUCGAAUCAGGAAAUUCUUUUUCCUGUGAUCUCAUAUUUACGAGUAGAACAUGAUAGAACCAAUAGUUUUCAGGUUAGCAAUAUUUACAGUUUUAGUUGAAUCAGAUUUAGUUUAAACCUACCGGAGGUCAUAAUUUACAAAACCGUUCAUCCAAUUUAAUUAUUUAUUUUUGCAUUAUGCUCCCACUAGCAUGUAGAUAGUAAAUACAUACUCUUAUUUUUAUGUUAUUUGAGUUUUAGUUGAAUUCUUUGUUGUUGACUUUAUGUUGAUGUUAUGUGAGUACGGUUUAUUUAUCGAUGCCUUCGUCAAACAUAUCGAUUGUCCGGAGUAUGGAGCGGAUCAGAAUUAAGCGUUAGAGUACUUUACACCGUUCAAGGGAAGUUUGCACUUUUGAUUAUGAUCAUCCUAUAUGUUUGCUAUGCAUUGUUAUGAUAUGUUAUGUGUUUUGUGUGAUUCUUAUAUUGCUUGUCACCAUGUGUGUGUCCUGGUUGCAUUGUUCAAUUGUAUGCUUGGAUAUGCUAUGGUAGACGUGGACUCGUAUCAAGUGUUUUAUGAAAGUGGUGAGUGUUUAUAGCUGUAGGCUCGGGGCUUUUGCUCGAGUGAAUGUGUCUAUGGCUGAGCGCUCUAUUGUCCCUAGAGAAUGCGCCAUGACUGAGCACACUUGAGUUGUGGGACUGAAAUCAGGUGAAUGUUGAUGGAUGAGCGCUUUGGAGUCCCCAUUGAAUGCGUCAUCGACUGAGCGCACUUGAUACUUCUUGAAGAUCUUUGUCAUGUCACCAUAGGUUUGUGAGUUCUCUAUUGCAGGUUAAAUGGUUUGUGGUGUGUGAGACCUUGAUCAGUGUAUGGAGGUAGGUGAAGUUAGCUUUAUGCCGAACCAACUAGACUGUUCUGUUUGUCAUACAUUGCUUAUAUAUGUAGGUUUGCAAUGUCAUUAUGUGUGAUCUGCGAUACAUUCAAUGUAUUGACACUUGUGCCUGCAACUUAUCAUGUUGUAGGAUAUUCAGAUGAUCAAUGAGAUACAAUAGGGUCGCGAGUCUUCACUCAACAUUUUUGCCAGUGGGUAGUGAUGGGAUACCUCAUUUGUUUAUGCUACAUUUUUGCUGUCACUAUUUCUUAAAGCUAGCUAUGUGCUACAGUAUUGUAAUACUUUAUAAAUUCUGCAUCAUAUAUUAUAGUAAAUUGAUGCACGUUUCACUUUGAUAUUCUUACGUAUUAUGUGCUAGCGAAUUGAUCCAGGGACUAGCACAGUAAGCACAGAGACUCAAAUCUUUCAAGAUUUGGUCCUUACAGAUGGUAACAGAGCCAGGUUGACGGUAGGUCGUGACCCUAGAAAAUGGAGUGGAAAUGCCAUUGGAGUGAAAAACUUGUUUUGUAGCUUUUGUUUACAUAUUAGUUCUUACUCUCGUACUCAUACUUUUUUUAAUAUAGGUGCCCCUUGUACUUGUAUUAGUAUUAUUGAGGAGUUUUAGAUAACACCACUACUGUGUUGAGUUUAUAUACGAUUCACGAGUAGUAUGAUGAGAUCAUAUCUCUUGUGGAUAUGACCUUACUUGUAGGAUUUGCUUGUGUAGUGUGCCUUGUGUGAUUUGUUUGACUUGGAGUUUGAUGCUAGCAUAUGGGUAGUGUUUUUCCCCUUAGGCCUAAUUCUAUAUAGGUCUCAUCUAUGCUUACCCACCACAUCGUCGUCGAGACGUAAUACUAGAGCCAGUGGUUCAGGAGACAACAACAGUGAUGUGCCACCAUACAUGCAACAAUACCUUCAAGGACAGGCCCAGUUGAUCCAGCUACUCACUCAGAACAUAGGGAACAACAACAACAAUCCACCUCCACCACCACCAGUGGAUGCACUUACUCGUUCUUGAGGUUGAAUCCUGAGAGGUUUUCCAGCAGCCCUGAACCUAUUAUAGUUGAUGAUUGGCUUCGCUCGGUUAAUAGGAACUUUGAGACUGUUGGCUGCACUGAUGCAGAGAGAGUGAGGUUUGCCUCACAUCUGUUGGAGGGUCCUGCCACAGCUUGGUGGGACAACUAUCUCGUCACUUACCCUAUUUCUACUAUCACUUGGGCGCAAUUUCAGGCAGGUUUCUGCGCCGCACAUGUGUCUAUUGGCACCAUGAGUUUGAAAAAGAAGGAGUUUCGCAGCUUGCGUCAGGGAGGUCGCACUGUGAAUGCAUAUGUGGAGGAAUUCAAUAAGCUUGCAAGCUAUGUGCCUAACGAUGUUAACACUGAUGCAGCCAGGCGGGAGAAGUUCUUGGAGGGUCUCGAUGACGAGUUGGGUGUUUAGUUGACAGUGGCAACUUUCAACAACUGUCAGGAGCUUAUUGAUAAAGCUAUUGUACUUGAGGGAAAAUUUCAAGAGGUGGAGGACGGAAAAGGAAGGCAAGCGACACUGAGUUGAACUCAGGAGGUCAUCAGAAGCAACGUAAUUCAUCAACAUCUUUUGAGUACUAUGGUUUCGAAGUGGACGUCUAUAAUGGCCAUAACCAUGAUGAACAUAAUCAUCACAGUGGCAAUGGGCACAACCAUAAUGGACGAAGGAAUGAGAACAACAACCACACCACUUUGACGCACACCAAGAAGGAUAUAAGUUACUUACUUUGUUAUAGGUGUAGAAACCCGGGGCAUUAUUCCAACAAGUGUCCUCUGUUGAAGGACAUGUAUUAUAACAAUGCAAGUUCCAAAGAAGAGGGGUCUGAUCACGUCGAAAGGCAACAUGUGAACCACACAAUGGUGGGAAGAGCUAAUAAUGCACCAGUCUUCGGUAAGAUUUUAAUCAAGUUUCACUAUUAUGACCAUUCUCUCAAUAUUGGUGCAUCUUAUUUAUUCAUGUCAAGGAGUUUUGGGAUAUAUGCAAUGAGUAAGCCUGAAAACCAUGGGAUAUCGAUUAUAUCAUUUACCCAUCUUUAACCUUGCUAGCCAACUUGAAUCUCGAGGACGAGAUUCAUUUUAGGGGGGGUAGAUUUGUAACUCCCAAAUUUUCAUAUUUGGUAUUAUAACAGGAUCAUUCUUUGUCAUCUUGAUUUCUAUGCAUUAUUUGUUCUUCUGGAAAUUCUAUUCAUUAUGCAACUGAGGGCAAGUUAUUGGAGUGGAGAUAACAUGACUUCUCCCCUAUAAAAUAAAAUUUUCAUAAUGUCCAGAAUAUGAUUUGGAGUCACCUCAUACAGUUUUCCAAAUUUAUAAACUCGAAAUUAUUUUUAGUUGAGUUUUUCAAUGCUCGUAGUGUGGCAUAUUGCAUAAAAUUUAUUUUCAAAAUUUAAUUAGGCUUGGAACUACUGUUCGUGCAGAAUGUAUUAGUUGCAUAUAUUUUACUAUAUGCCAUUUGCAUUUUAUAAUAUUUUUCUGGUAUUUAUUUUAGCCACAAACAUAUUCCUUUUUGCAACAGUUUAUUAUUUUUAAAGAGAAAUCACACUGUGUAGACGGGCUGAACAGUGGCCCAACCUGGGCUUUGCCUCGCGAGCGCACAACGCACAGCCACAGCAGGGCCGACCCAGCAACUGAUGACGAGAUGAUGUAUAUACUUCUCGCACCUCGUUGGUUACCCCAAGUGGAAGGUUGAUAUGUAGUCAGCAGCAAGUUUUCCCUCACAAAAGACUGUAAGGUUUAUCGAACAAGUAGGUGUCUCCCACCCUGGCGCUAGCAGAAGGCGUGGACCUGCACACACAAUAAAUAACUUUGCUCCCAACAAGUAAAAAGAGGUUGUCAAUCUCUCCGGCCUUGUAGUUUGCAAAGGAUCAAAACACAAGCGGGAAAAGUAAUAGUGAUUGAAACGGGAAAGUAAAUGAAAACGGUAAAUGAUGGAGGUGUAAGCAAUGAUGGUGAUAUGGACCGGAGUCACAUGAUGUUCACUAGUGAUGUCUCUCCCAAAAGACAAUAAACAACUAUGCUUGGGUAAACAAAUUACAGUUGGGCAAUUUACAGAAUUAUGAACGCACCGCAAUGCUAAUUAUGCUACUUGAUAGUUAGAGGCUCAAUAGUAAUGGACAGUACGCCAAGACAAGUAGACCGUUUAUUCAUCCGCAUCUACUUACUGAUCAUCCACCUUGAGAUAUCUAUCAAGAGCAUCUCGCCGGUAUUAAGUUGCGAGCCCCACCCAAAGUGUAAACUCAAAGUAACGGACAACUGCACUAACGAACUAUGCGUAAGGUAAACAAUCCUUGCAACCGUGGUCACAAGCACCAUUGUUUUCUCUGUGGUGGCAACAACACAUCCCCUAGUCUCACAUUUCUAUCACCCAAGCUAGACAUCGAGGGGCAUGAACCCACAAUCAUGCAUAACGAUCCCUCUUGGAGUUACAAUCUACUACUCGGACAAAGCAAUAAAUAACAAUGGAGAACAUGCAUGAAUCACUAAGGAACAUAAUAUAAAAGGGUAAUCAAAUAUAUAACUCAUAACAAUUUUAACAUAAUCUCAUAAUCCCUCGGAUCCCAACAAACCGAGCAUAGCAAUAGCAAGAGAAUAACAUAGAUGCCUUGAUCAUGUAGGGCAGCUCACAAGGACUAACCAUUGAAGCACAAGAUUGGAGAGAAGACAUCACAUAGCUACUGGUCAUGGACUCAUGGUCCAAGGAGGACUACUCAUGGCACGUCUGGGAAGCGUCCAUGGCAGUGGAGAAGAUCCAGGAGGUCAAUCCUCCCUCCGACAGGGUGACAGGAAGAGGUGUUCUGACGCUCCAGAUCUCGGAAGUGCUGCGGCGGCGGAACGAUGGAGAAAUUCACGAUUCUGGAUCUAAUGGAAGGGUUUCCUCUCGGAGGAGUAAAUAUAGGCCGAAGGAGGGCACCGGAGGAGGUGGGACCCACCCAAGCAGCCUCUUGGCGCGGCUAGGGGGUAGGCCGCGCCCAGAGGUCACCUGGGGCGGCCCCUGGCCCCCCUCUGUCCCAUCUUCGGUGAUCUGAAAGCUUCCGGUAUGCUGAUUUUUUAUGUAUUCUUCUCGAGAUUUUCCGGGCUUCAGAAAAUUGUGUAAAAGCCCCUACAUAAAAUACAUCAGUAGACAGGAACUGACACUACGUGCACUAAGUUAGUAGGUUAGUCCAAAUAUGUGUAAAAUGAUAUAAAAGUGUAGCAAAACAUAUAACAAUGUCACCCAAAAGGUCAUGGAACAAGCAAAAAAUAUAGAUGCGUUUUGGACGUAUCAACAUCCCCAAGCUUAAUUUACGCUCGUCCUCGAGUAGAUAAAUGAUAACACAAUAAUUUAUGUGGUGACAUGCUAACACACAUAUAAGAACUUAAAAGUAAAGCAAGUAAGAUAUGCAAUUCAAGUCAAGACAAUAACAAGCAAGAGUCUAUAUGUAGUAUUGAAUUUAGCAAAGUAAGAACAUAAAGGUGCAAGAGCUCUCGCUGUCCGUGACUCGAAUGUCUCCAAAUGGUGUUUGUGUGCAAGAAGUGGGAGAUGGGUUCAGAUCAUAAAAUAUAUAUUUUUAAUUGAGAACUCAAUCUACUAAACCUCACACUUAGUAUCCUUCAGAAUCUUAUUUUGACUCAUCCCCACACCACUAGUCAGGCAUAAGUCAAAAUGAUCCUGUCCCUUUCGACUUUGAGCACUCAUGCAAUGGAUGAGUGUAAGGAAGAUAUGUUGGCACUUAGGAUGGCAAAGAGAAUAAUGACGGGGAAGGAAGACAAAAAGGUGUGAAAGGCUCACAUCAAUGAGGACAACCAUCGGCGAGAGAAAGCCAAAUGAUAGAUAUGAUGUGAGGAGUAGGGAUUGCCAUGUAAUGGAUGCACAUAUGAGCUAAGGUAAGCUCUCCAAUGGAACUGGUGGGGGUGCAUCCAACUUGUUUGCUCAUCAAGACCUAGAGCUCAUUUGAGGAGGCUCAUCAUUGGAAUAUGCAAACCAAGUUCUAUAGUGUAAGGGUCCCCCCAUAGUUAUGCAUGAAUGAUAAUCUCUAUGUACUACAAAUAUAGCAAUGGAGUACGAGUGUGGAUCUUUUAAAAGGAAUAGUAGUGUUGCCCCUUUCUUUUUUUUNUUUGUUUUGUCCUCUUUAGGAUCUUUUCAUCACUUAAGGGCAGCACUCUAUGUUUACAUGAAUAGAAAGAAGAUCAUCAAACUUUAUAAGAAGUACUCAACAUAAAGACAAGUGAAAACUAUCAUGAUGUAUGCAAAUGUAUGCCUCUGUCGGUGUAGCAGGAUAUGCAAUGAUACUAGCGCGUCAUGUAGCAAUAAUUUAGGCAAGUCCCAACUAUCAUGCGGCUCUACGAUCAAGAAAAAGCAUGUAUGACAUGAAAAUGAAGUCAUGAGAUGGUGGAUGUUGCAUGUCAAUGUAUCUCGGAAAGGGUAUUGAAAUGCCUUAAUAGGUAGGUAUGGUGGUUGUUUUGAGGAAAGAUAUAAUGAGGCUUAUGUAUGGCAGAGCGUAUCAUGUCAUGGGUUUGGAUGCACCGGCGGAGUUUGCACCAACUCUCAAUGUGAGAAAGGGCAAUGCACGGUACCAAGGGGGAUAGCAAAAUAAGGAUGGUGGAAGUGCCAACAAUCGAAUACUCACAUUAGUCCAAAGAACCCAUACACUUAUUAUCGGCAACUCUCUAUCAAGUUAGUAAAUAAACAAAGAGACAAGUACCCCGAGGAGGAAUGUUUGGGGUUUGGUUAUCCUUACGCAUCCUCGACUCAUGGUAACGUGAGGGUAAUCUAUAUAUUCCAAGCCCUCCAGAGGUUAGCGAUCAAUUUGGUAGCUAGAGUUCUCAACUAAUUUUUAGUUUUUUGAAGAACACACGGAUUUCCCAAAAUACAACACCUAUCACUAAUAGGCUUAAGCUCUUGGCACCGAUAGUCCAAACAUUACUCAAAUCAAUACCUCAAAACUAUUGCAAGUUACUACUAUACUUAAAUAGCAACCUCAAUUACCUACUCAUGCAAGAUACAAAACUUAGUGCAACGAGCUAACUCUCUAAACAAGAUAAGCAAACUCAAGAGAGUUCCAAAAGCAACCUAAAUAAAAGCUAUUUAAGAUAUAGCAUGAAAACUAAGAGCUAAGCAUGGAAAUAGCUAUAUAGAGAUAGCGAACACACAUAAAA